UUAUAUAAAAUGUGUUAAAAGUGAGUGGUAUUUUAAGUAAUUCGAGAUAAUUCUUAAUUAUGUGGGUAAUUGACAAUUACCUAAUAAACAAAAAUCUAGGAUAAGACCACCACGUGGCAGAUUUUGCAAAGCAAAAAUUUGUGACUCAUGCCGAUCAAUGGUGGGAUAUUUAAUUUGAGAUGGAGGGGUCACUAUUUGAUGACACAUAAACUUUUGUAGGUAGAUAGCAGAAAUGUAAACGGUGAAUCAAAUUUGAUGUACUAGUAAAUGUAGAGGAUUCGUGUGCCUUGCCAAGAUGAGGGUGAAUACUUUUUAAAGAUCUCCGCUAAUAUUAGUUCCUUCCUCCAGGUAUAGAUAAUCAGUUUGACGAGCCUUCAUAGUAGACGAGAUUGACAUUCAACGAAGGAUUGGUAAGACUCCACCUUAUUCGGAGUGCAGUCGAGUCUAUGAGUCAUCAUGGUUUUUUAUGUUAAAAUUUUGCUACAGACAUAUGGGUAGGCCGGUACCUAGUCCCAUUUGAUUUCAUAUAAUCGUAGAGGCUUUUUAGACACAGGUUUAUUAUGUACGGUAUGUCAGAGGCCUUGACGGCCCAUAUGUGUCCAUCUUUUAAGAAAAAUAGUUCACAGAUACAAUGUUGUCCACUUAAAAUUGUACAUUAUGAGUUGUAGCCAUAUUGGCCCAUGAUAGUUACAAAAGGAAUAAAUGAGUUGUAU